GUUUUCCCUCAACAUCUUCAACGCCGAUCUUGCCUGACUCGUCGUAGUAACGUGAUACUGGCAUUUCCUAAGCAGUCCAUCCAACAACUUCAAACAAAUUGGGUCAUCAUCAACAGCAAGAACCCUCAUACCAACUGGAAAAUUAUCAUAGUUUUCCCUUUCACCACCCAUAUUUCCUCUAAUUUCCUCCACAGUCAUUUCAAGAACCACAAAUUAAACAACCCCACAAGAUAAAAAAG
rnacentral:misc_RNA from 1 species